rnacentral:rRNA from 1 species
UACGAAGGGGGCAAGCGUUGUUCGGAAUUACUGGGCGUAAAGGGCGCGUAGGCGGCCGAUCAAGUCAGGCGUGAAAUUCCCGGGCUCAACCUGGGGGCUGCGCUUGAUACUGAUUGGCUUGAAUGCGGGAGAGGGUAGUGGAAUUCCCGGUGUAGUGGUGAAAUGCGUAGAUAUCGGGAGGAACACCAGUGGCGAAGGCGACUACCUGGCCUGUUCUUGACGCUGAGGCGCGAAAGCUAGGGGAGCAAACGGG